ACUUGGGCCCAACAAAUCUCAGCCCAAUUGAGAUUUGUUCUUGCACUGGAAUGGGCUGGACCUGCUGAAUUUCUGGACUGAACUAACUUGGUCUUCAAAUUGGUGGGCUGGACUUCAAUUGGUUGCUGGAAACUGGGCCUCAAAAAGGCUGGGCUUCAAUUCUAAUUGAUGAUGGGCUGAGCUCACAAGGAAAUUGCUGGACUUCAAGAUGUCAAACUGCAGGCUGCUUGAUGGACCAAAAUGCUGAUCAUUUGGGCUGCGAAGUGGGCUGUUAUUGGGCUGCCGAAAUUAAUCAAUUGCUGGGCUGAAGUCAUUGGCCUCAUGGGCUGGGCUGCUGGAGAUGGCAUCACGAAAAUGGAACAGCAGGCGUGAGUUGCUGGGUCAACACGGAGGCGUCCAGCUGAGAACUCGCUGCUUCGUUGACCGAGUGAAGGGCGCCUGGCAGCUGGAUUCGAGCGCGGCUUCAGCUGAAGACGUGAGCUGAGCGAGCAGCAACUUUGGUCUUCGUGCACUGGAGUUUCUUCAAUGUUUCGGCAGUCCAAGACUUCGUGGCUUCGCUGGGUCGACGGGCUGGAGAAGAUUGAAGACGGAAGCUGCUCGUGGACGCUGCUCUUCAAGCUUCGCUGGCGGACGUGUGGCUUCUUCGGUGGUGUUGCUCGGUCAACAAUUGCUUCGCUCGGUGGAGAAAUUGACCGAGAUGACGUGCGGACGGCGGAGGCGUGGGGACUUCGGUGGAGGCUUCGCUCGGUGGAGUUUCGGUCUUCAAGGCUUCGUGGGCUUCUUCAAGCUUGCUGCUGGCCAGAUCGCUCAGUCAACAAGCGAGGCCAUCGAGGGAAGCUCUGACCGGAAGGGGACCAACGGUAGUGGAGGCUGGCGUGGACGAUGGAGCAGCUUCGGUUUCGGUGGAUGCUGAGCUUCUCGGGUAGCUUGGUGGACGCUCGGAAAAUUUUCGAAGGAAGCAGCUGGGUCUUCUUCAGUUGCUGCUGGAGGUGUCGCACGCCAGAGAGAAAAAAAAAUGGAAAGGGGAGAGAAGCAGCUCACGGCAGCUUGGGG
rnacentral:lncRNA from 1 species